GAAAUGCUGAAUACUACAGGUGUAGUAGACCUUACAGUGAAAUGCUGAAUACAACAGGUGUAGUAGACCUUACAGUGAAAUGCUGAAUACAACAGGUGUAGUAGACCUCACAGUGAAAUGCUGAAUACAACAGGUGUAGUAGACCUCACAGUGAAAUGCUGAAUACAACAGGUGUAGUAGACCUCACAGUGAAAUGCUGAAUACAACAGGUGUAGUAGACUUCACAGUGAAAUGCUGAAUACAACAGGUGUAGUAGACCUCACAGUGAAAUGCUGAAUACAACAGGUGUAGUAGACCUUACAGUGAAAUGCUGAAUACAACAGGUGUAGUAGACCUUACAGUGAAAUGCUGA